AACUGGAAUUCCUGGUGUAGCGGUGGAAUGCGCAGAUAUCAGGAGGAACACCGAUGGCGAAGGCAGGUCUCUGGGCCAUUACUGACACUGAGAAGCGAAAGCAUGGGGAGCGAACAGGAUUAGAUACCCUGGUAGUCCAUGCCGUAAACGUUGGGAACUAGGUGUGGGUCUCAUUCCACGAGAUCCGUGCCGCAGCUAACGCAUUAAGUUCCCCGCCUGGGGAGUACGGCCGCAAGGCUAAAACUCAAAGGAAUUGACGGGGGCCCGCACAAGCGGCGGAGCAUGCGGAUUAAUUCGAUGCAACGCGAAGAACCUUACCAAGGCUUGACAUACACCGGAAUCACUCAGAGAUGGGUGCGUCUUCGGACUGGUGUACAGGUGGUGCAUGGUUGUCGUCAGCUCGUGUCGUGAGAUGUUGGGUUAAGUCCCGCAACGAGCGCAACCCUCGUUCUAUGUUGCCAGCACGUCAUGGUGGGGACUCAUAGGAGACUGCCGGGGUCAACUCGGAGGAAGGUGGGGAUGACGUCAAAUCAUCAUGCCCCUUAUGUCUUGGGCUUCACGCAUGCUACAAUGGCCGGUACAAAGGGCUGCGAAACCGCGAGGUGGAGCGAAUCCCAAAAAACCGGUCUCAGUUCGGAUUGGGGUCUGCAACUCGACCCCAUGAAGUCGGAGUCGCUAGUAAUCGCAGAUCAGCAACGCUGCGGUGAAUACGUUCCCGGGCCUUGUACACACCGCCCGUCAAGUCACGAAAGUCGGUAACACCCGAAGCCGGUGGCCCAACCCUUGUGGGGGGAGCCGUCGAAGGUGGGACUGGCGAU
rnacentral:rRNA from 1 species